AUUUUAACCCGCGGUAUACCAC
rnacentral:siRNA from 1 species